GAGCGUCUUGUGGCUGCGGCCUGCCCCUCAGCCUCCUCCGCGCGGUUACCCCUGUACCCGCCGCCAUCCGUCCUGGCGCUCCGGAUGAGUCAAUGAGGGGCAGGGCCCGAGGAGUGGUCUUCCCAAGAACCCCUGGUGGCCUCCCAAGGCCGGCCUCGUGGGCUGUGCGGCUAUCCUGGAGACAGAUGACAGCUCUCCCUUGGAUGGCUUUGCUGGUUCCGCACCAGCCAGCGCCCCCAUUUUUCCUGCAGCACCCUGAUCUGCACUCCCUGAGGGGCUCCCACUGUCCGCGGUGUGAGGAUGUCCCUGGAUAGUCCACUGUGUGCAGAGGCAUGGGAGUUGUCAUGUUGGGAACAUGCUAGACCUCAGUAUCCUUGAGCUUGAAGAAAGACGACAGAACACUGGAGACCAAGUACUUACAGCCUUCUGCUCUGUGGCCCCUCCUCACUCCAGGGAUGCUGCCUUGGGUCUGGAAACUGUUAGAGGAAACCCCAAGAGGUGCAGGCACUGAGCCUCUCAGGACAAUGACCUGGGGUCCCAGCUCCCCUGGAGGGGCCUCCUCAUGAUUGUUUGGGGGUUGAUCACAGACCAAGAGUGACGAGUGAUGUCACCCUGUGACUCAUGGCUGGACCUUCUUGCCCCUAUUGUCUCAGCACAACAUUAUUCGACUUUUCCCUCAGCGUGGGUGGGCAGAGGAAAAGCCCUGUGGCUCUGGGGACUUGGGAUCCAGAGUUGAAGACCCUUCAGCUGGCUCUGCCCUGCCAGUGCCACAGAGUGCCAUGGCCCAGGAAGACAGGUUUUCUUCCAUCUAGGCCAGGCCAUCCAGUGGCCAUCCUCCGUGUCCUCCCGCCUCCUCCUGGUGUGACUUCUGAAAACCAAGAAUUUGUUCCUGUUGACUUUUUCUGUGCUAUGGACCAUUGUCCUCUCACCCACUCAAUAAAUCUUGAAACAUGC
rnacentral:lncRNA from 1 species